UACGAAAGGUGCUAGCGUUGUUCGGAAUUACUGGGCGUAAAGCGCACGUAGGCGGCCUUGUGAGAUGGGGGUGAAAUCCCUGGGCUCAACCCAGGAACUGCCUUCAUGACUGCAAAGCUCGAGGAUGUGAGAGGUUGGCUGAAUUCCGAGUGUAGAGGUGAAAUUCGUAGAUAUUCGGAAGAACACCGGUGGCGAAGGCGGCCAACUGGCACAUUUCUGACGCUGAGGUGCGAAAGCGUGGGGAGCAAACAGG
rnacentral:rRNA from 1 species